rnacentral:rRNA from 1 species
ACUCCUACGGGAGGCAGCAGUGGGGAAUAUUGGACAAUGGGCGCAAGCCUGAUCCAGCAAUGCCGCGUGAGUGAUGAAGGCCUUAGGGUUGUAAAGCUCUUUUACCAGGGAUGAUAAUGACAGUACCUGGAGAAUAAGCUCCGGCUAACUCCGUGCCAGCAGCCGCGGUAAUACGGAGGGAGCUAGCGUUGUUCGGAAUUACUGGGCGUAAAGCGCGCGUAGGCGGUUACUCAAGUCAGAGGUGAAAGCCCGGGGCUCAACCCCGGAACUGCCUUUGAAACUAGGUGACUAGAAUCUUGGAGAGGUCAGUGGAAUUCCGAGUGUAGAGGUGAAAUUCGUAGAUAUUCGGAAGAACACCAGUGGCGAAGGCGACUGACUGGACAAGUAUUGACGCUGAGGUGCGAAAGCGUGGGAGCAAACAGGAUUAGAUACCCUGGUAGCGACUGA